UAACAUUAUGCUUUCUGCAAU
rnacentral:piRNA from 1 species